AUGAACGCUGGCGGCGUGCCUAAUACAUGCAAGUCGAGCGAACGGACGAGAAGCUUGCUUCUCUGAUGUUAGCGGCGGACGGGUGAGUAACACGUGGAUAACCUACCUAUAAGACUGGGAUAACUUCGGGAAACCGGAGCUAAUACCGGAUAAUAUUUUGAACCGCAUGGUUCAAAAGUGAAAGACGGUCUUGCCGUCACUUAUAGAUUGAUCCGCGCUGCAUUAGCUAGUUGGUAAGGUAACGGCUUACCAAGGCAACGAUGCAUAGCCGACCUGAGAGGGUGAUCGGCCACACUGGAACUGAGACACGGUCCAGACUCCUACGGGAGGCAGCAGUAGGGAAUCUUCCGCAAUGGGCGAAAGCCUGACGGAGCAACGCCGCGUGAGUGAUGAAGGUCUUCGGAUCGUAAAACUCUGUUAUUAGGGAAGAACAUAUGUGUAAGUAACUGUGCACAUCUUGACGGUACCUAAUCAGAAAGCCACGGCUAACUACGUG
rnacentral:rRNA from 1 species